AACGAACGCUGGCGGCAGGCUUAACACAUGCAAGUCGAGCGCCCCGCAAGGGGAGCGGCAGACGGGUGAGUAACACGUGGGAACCUACCUGAAGGUACGGAACAACUCCGGGAAACUGGCGCUAAUACCGUAUGUGCCCGAAAGAGGAAAGAUUCAUCGCCUUCAGAUGGGCCCGCGUCAGAUUAGCGAGUUGGUGAGGUAACGGCUCACCAAGGCGAGGAUCUGUGGCUGGUCUGAGAGGAUGAUCAGCCACACUGGGACUGAGACACGGCCCAGACUCCUACGGGAGGCAGCAGUGGGGAAUAUUGGACAAUGGGCGAAAGCCUGAUCCAGCCAUGCCGCGUGAGUGAUGACGGCCUUAGGGUUGUAAAGCUCUUUCGACGGGGACGAUAAUGACGGUACCCGUAGAAGAAGCCCCGGCUAACUUCGUGCCAGCCGCCGCGGUAA
rnacentral:rRNA from 1 species